rnacentral:rRNA from 1 species
AUGGCGGCUCGUGCUAUAACAGCAAACUAUGUCAAAGCAAACUUCCCUAAGGCAAUCAGUAAAAUAGGGGGAUGGCUUAGACCUCCUGUGGGUUUUGUGAAGCUAAAUGUUGAUGCUUCUUUUGACCAUGAUCUGCUUAGAGGAACGGCGGGGGCAGUCCUCGGAGAUGACAAAGGAAGGUUCAUUGUAGGCGGAAGCUGGAGAAUCGACUGGUGUGCUGAUGUACUAACAGCAGAAGCAAUGGCGCUAAGGUUUGGCCUUAUCCUUGCACAGAAGGUGGGGUGUAAUCGCCUUAUUGUCAACUCGGAUAAUUUGGAAGUGAUUGACACAAUGAAAAAUGGAGGACAAUCGGCGGGAGUGGCGGCAGUGUUCGAUGAUUGCUAUUUUAUAUCUUGUGAAUUUACUAUUACGAGGUUUGAACAUUGUAAUAGGGAAGCAAAUAAGGUUGCUCAUGAAAUUGCUAGGCUAGCGAAAUUUUCUGUAAUUAGGGAUUGGUUUGAGGAGCCUAUGGAUAACAUUGUAUCUUUCCUUACUGACGAUGUAACUGUUAUAUCUAAUGAAUAA